rnacentral:rRNA from 1 species
GACGAACGCUGGCGGCGUGCCUAAUACAUGCAAGUCGAACGCACUCUCGUUUAGAUUGAAGGAGCUUGCUCCUGAUUGAUAAACAUUUGAGUGAGUGGCGGACGGGUGAGUAACACGUGGGUAACCUGCCCUAAAGUGGGGGAUAACAUUUGGAAACAGAUGCUAAUACCGCAUAAAACCUAACACCGCAUGGUGUAGGGUUGAAAGAUGGUUUCGGCUAUCACUUUAGGAUGGACCCGCGGUGCAUUAGUUAGUUGGUGAGGUAAAGGCUCACCAAGACCGUGAUGCAUAGCCGACCUGAGAGGGUAAUCGGCCACACUGGGACUGAGACACGGCCCAGACUCCUACGGAGGCAGCAGUAGGGAAUCUUCCACAAUGGACGAAAGUCUGAUGGAGCAAACGCCGCGUGAGUGAAGAAGGUUUUCGGAUCGUAAAAACUCUGUUGUUGGAGAAGAAAUGUAUCUGAUAGUAACUGAUCAGGUAGUGACGGUAUCCAACCAGAAAG